GGGGAAUAUUGGACAAUGGGCGAAAGCCUGAUCCAGCCAUGCCGCGUGUGUGAAGAAGGUCUUCGGAUUGUAAAGCACUUUAAGUUGGGAGGAAGGGCAGUAAGUUAAUACCUUGCUGUUUUGACGUUACCGACAGAAUAAGCACCGGCUAACUCUGUUCCAGCAGCCGCGGUAAUACAGAGGGUGCAAGCGUUAAUCGGAAUUACUGGGCGUAAAGCGCGCGUAGGUGGUUUGUUAAGUUGGAUGUGAAAGCCCCGGGCUCAACCUGGGAACUGCAUCCAAAACUGGCAAGCUAGAGUACGGUAGAGGGUGGUGGAAUUCCCUGUGUAGCGGUGAAAUGCGUAGAUAUAGGAAGGAACACCAGUGGCGAAGGCGACCACCUGGACUGAUACUGACACUGAGGUGCGAAAGCGUGGGGAGCAAAC
rnacentral:rRNA from 1 species